rnacentral:rRNA from 1 species
GGUGACGUUGUGAGAAGUUCAUUAAACCUUAUCAUUUAGAGGAAGGAGAAGUCGUAACAAGGUUUCCGUAGGUGAACCUGCGGAAGGAUCAUUG